AAUUAAUACAAACUUUGAGAAUUCUUUCUCAUCCCUUUUUGAGUCUUCUAUCUAAAUCACUAGUACAUACAGUAGCUUGGACAGUUGCAUUUAUUUGUAAGUCAAACCGCAAACAAUUAGAACUAAACUGCACAGAUAUCUACUCACUGCUAUUUCCGUUGAAAAUAAGUAUCUUUACUUCUUUUGGAAUUGAACUACCUUUGACACCUAUGUGAUAGGACAAUACCGAG
rnacentral:misc_RNA from 1 species